rnacentral:lncRNA from 1 species
CAUUUAUGCAAACAAGUUCGCCGAGUUGUUCGCCGAUCAUCUUGAAGUGCCGAAGGUCAAAGGCUAUGUUCAGAAGGUAGUCAGUGAUUAUUCCGACAAACAGUUUCGCAGCAACUUCCGCCUCCCGCGAUCAGCCUGUAACCAGCUGGUCAAACAGUUCGAAGCGUCGGAAUGUUUUCCGUCUGACAGGAACCAUGGCGGUGUGCCCGUCAAAUCGGCAGAGGAGCACAUUCUCUCAUUUCUCUGCUUGCAGGGUUUCCGAAUGUAAUAGGGUGUAUCGAUGGCACCUAUAUUCCCAUGCGCUGCCCAGUGAACAAGACAAGGUCUACCUAUAUAAACAGGCAUGACCAGGUGUCAUUAACAAUGCAGGGCAUCUGCAACUCCAAAGGCAGGUUCCAAGACGUCUUUACUGGCCCACCAAGCAAGGUUCAUGAUGGUCGUGUGCUGAAACUAUCAACUGUUCAGCAAGAUUUGCCCACACUUUGCC